CCAGCGUGGGAUUGUCAUGGCAACUGUUUUCCACAAAGUGAAGUUCUUCAGCGCGGAACUGUUUCGGUGAAAAAGACAGAAAAGGUCUCCCAUGAUGCACUCUGUUUGGGACUACAGAUGCCGGUCUCAUCUCAUGAGAUUAAGAAGUUGGACUUUUCUUCAAAGAUCAAACUUACAAAGUAAGCAACAUCAUUCUGAUCUGUCCUCCGGGGACACACAUGUCCCAACAAACUGACGAUCCGAGAGGUUAUAACGCUUUAACGGACACGAGAAAACAUUUCUGAACACGUGAAGCCAGUAGAGAGGAUCCACUCGACCAUGAAGACAUAAUCGGUCUAUAGUCUCAAACCUUUAAAGAGUUUUAUGUCCAGUUUAAAUUGCUCUUCUGCACACAUAUUUCUGCAUAUUUGAUGUUUGAUUGAAUUAAUGAGUUUUACUGACUUUGUGAGCAAAAGCAAAGAUCAAUGGAAGACACAGUUUCUUUAUGUUCCACGCACCUUCAUAUUUUAGUUUGUGGUCAUAAUAUAAAAUAAUCGAGUCUCAAACAAGAA